rfam:TPA: Bos taurus chromosome 21, whole genome shotgun sequence.
UCCUUGGUGGUCUAGUAGUUAGGACUCUCUGCUUUCACUGCCAAUGGCCCAGGUUCAAUCCCUGGUUGAGGAA